rnacentral:other from 1 species
GUCACCCUGUAGUGCUCGUGAUGCGACUAGAGAGUUUUGAGCCAACACUUGAUAAAUAGGGAGCCGAUCUCUAGAGGGGCUGUCCGUAGGACAAUAACCGAUAGGUAGGCACCCACCUGCGCAAGCAGGUUCAAAACUUACAAGCACACGACACAGCGGGGGACGU